rnacentral:rRNA from 1 species
UACAGAGGUCUCGAGCGUUGUUCGGAAUUACUGGGCGUAAAGGGCGCGUAGGCGGUCUUGUAAGUCUUGUGUGAAAUCCCUCGGCUCAACUGAGGAACUGCACGGGAUACUGCGAGACUUGAGUUCGGGAGAGGGAAGCGGAAUUCCGGGUGUAGCGGUGAAAUGCGUAGAUAUCCGGAGGAACACCGGUGGCGAAGGCGGCUUCCUGGACCGAUCACUGACGCUGAGGCGCGAAAGCUAGGGGAGCAAACGGG